UACGGGGGGGGCAAGCGUUGUUCGGAAUUACUGGGCGUAAAGGGCUCGUAGGCGGCCAACUAAGUCAGACGUGAAAUCCCUCGGCUUAACCGGGGAACUGCGUCUGAUACUGGAUGGCUUGAGUUUGGGAGAGGGAUGCGGAAUUCCAGGUGUAGCGGUGAAAUGCGUAGAUAUCGGGAAGAACACCCGUGGCGAAGGCGGCUCUCUGGGACGGUACUGACGCUGAGACGCGAAAGCGUGGGGAGCGAACAGG
rnacentral:rRNA from 1 species